rnacentral:lncRNA from 1 species
AACAAGACACAAUCAUAAGAGAACAGAACUUGACCACCCAAGCUUCUUCUUCAAAAACAUGUCAAAAAUCAACACGGCUGAACCCUUGAAACCCGCCUGAGACCCGCCACCGACCACUGGAACCUGCCGCCAACUCCGCUCUCUCCAUCUCCUUAAGACAGCCGGAGAAAGCAGCAGUACGACCAAGACCACACUCUCACCCCUAAGCUUCUGCCGCGACCCCACCUUCUUCGUCUCUCAAAAUCGCCGGAAACACACGCGCACACAAAAUUAAAUCAGUUCUGCUCAUGGAGUUUAUUUGAGUUCUGUGGCUGCUUCCCGAUUCGAGAUCGAGUUCGAGUCGCCGACGAGUAUCCUCCGGUCGGAGGUUCCGUCCGUCAGGUUUCGAUUUCAGCUCCUGUUAUGCUACUGUAAUGGCUUGAGGUUCAAUUCUAAACCUUAUUUGCUCCUCAAUCUUAAGAUCUAUUUCUCCUGAUGCUAUGAGUGAAAUUUUGAUUUGGUUGCCUAUUACUUUUCGUUCUCGAUUAAAAUUGCUCUGUCUGACUAGUUCAUCGUUUAGUUUAUGUAUUUUUGUUGUUGUUAAAAGUAGAUUUUAAGUUAUUUAACUUGGUUAAUAUUUUAGGAAAGAAUCAUUAAUUUUUAGUUUGAUUUGGGCAGUGUAGUGUGGUGUGGAAUCUUGUUAAAAGAAAGUGAUUGAAUUAUUUAUUUUAUUAGUUAAGCUUGAAUCAAAAGGGCUGUAGAAUAAAAAAUUGAAAAAUGAAAGAAAACAGAAUUGCGUUUAACGUUUAGUAUUUCUAUUUAGUUAUUAUUAGCUUUUAUUUUUUUCGCUAGGAGCAUGCUAGGUCGAUAACAUUUGGGUAGGUAAACUUUUAAGGCAUUUGAUUUUAGUUUCUUUUGAGGUGAGAGGUUGUACCUUAGUUAAAUUUAUCCGGGGAAUGCCCUAUGGACCUUGUAUAUAUUUUAGCUCGGGGAAUACCCCGAAGUAUUAUGUAAAUAUUUUGGAGGCUUUGACGAGCAUGGUGGAGAAGUCAUAAUAUAGCUUAGCUUAGGACUUUUCUUUUCAUUUUCUCUUAUUAGGAAGGGACGACCUCGAACGUUUUUGGAUGUUUAUUUUCAUUUGUGUGUUUUACCUCAAUUUGAAUAUCUUGAAAGCCAACUUGAUCGAGUACGCAACCGUGACCUUUACGGGACUUGGGGAGUGCCUAACACCUUCUCCCCGAGUCAAAUGAACCUCCUUACCCUAAUCUCUGGUGCAGACUAGUUUUAGAGUUCACAUUAUUUUGAAAGGAAUUUUUUUUUUUAAAAAAAAACGGUGACCUGACACACUGAAAUCAAAUGUCAGGUGGCGACUUUGAGUUUUCCUUUUGAAUACAAUCUUUGCCACUUUUCAAUUGAAAAAUCCUUUUCAAGCUUUUAUUAAAUCUUUUUAUUUAUUUAAGAGGGUUUAAGUAGAGUGGUGUUUUGCCAAAAAAGGGGUGUGACAGUAGUGAGCAAUGAAUUAGUUCGAGAAAAUAUGUCUAGUAAAAUUAUGGUACUUUUCCGAGAGAGAGAGCUACGACAUCCAAAAUACUCACGGUUGAUAGAGAAUACUUAGAUGAAUUUGUAGGAAACGUAGCAAGGAAGAUUUCGACAAUAAGAAAAAUCAUUAACCCUAAACCUUUUCAAAUCGUGUCCACAACAUUUGCUUUGUUAGUUAUAAAUUACUACAUUUUAAUUAUUUUGCUCUUAGUUAGCAAAAAUGGGCGGAUUUACGCUUGCCGAAGCGGUGUCAAGCAAUACCGCAUCGUCUAAAUUUUUUACUAAAUAUAUAUAUUUAUAUUGUACGGAAACAUAUAAGUAGGAAAAAAUAACACCACUUAGCAUUAAUUGUAUUUUGGUUCGUUGGUAAUGUGCGAGGUCAAAGUCUCAAACCUUAACUAGCACUUUUUUCUUUUGCAAAUACUCAUGACCUUUUGUAACUUAAGACUCAACAAAAUCAAUAGAUGAAAGUUAUUUCUUGUCUAAAGGUUUGAUAAAACGUUUUUCUGGUGACAUUAAUGAAACCAUAAUGCAAAAUUAAUUAAUAGAAACGUUUUUCAUUAUUAUUGAAACUUAUUUAUAUUUCAAUUCUUUAAUAAAUUUCGACACCGCUAACAAAUUUUUUUGCGUACGCCCGUGUUAGCAAACAUUGAGAUCCUUAUUUAAUAUUUUUGAAGGUUGAUUACUUGAAUUCGUGCGAAACUAGUUAUCGUAAUUAAUAGAUUAAUUUUCUGUGAAAUUUGACUCCAAAUAAAUUAUAUUUACAACUAUCGGUAGACCUCUUUGGAGGCAUAGCUAGGUGUGAUCACGUACAAAUAAGUCCAUGGUAAAAUACCACACAAUACAAACAAUAUCACGAGUUGGCAUUUCAGUAGCCUCAUAGUUAUUACUGUCAAAUUGGACCUUCUUUAUCGAUGACUAUGUGAAAAAUAUAUUGAUAAAUGCUAGUAAUUACUUCUCGACCACCUAGAAUUUAUACACGUUAAUAUUGUUGGUUGUGAAAUGACAUUACCAGCCGGGUACCGCAAUAUAACGUAUGUUUCUAGUCAAGAAAUUAUGUUGGAUGGACUUUAAAUUUUGAUCUCGUUAAAAAAUAUUUUGAGAAAAUAGUCACAUGUUACAAUUUUUAAGUAUUCUCCGAAAAGCAUCAGGAAUUUUGAGGAUUACAAAAUUUUCAUUUGUCAUAUAGUCCGUGGCCCAUGCUAAAAGAUGAUUUUUGUUAAAAUAAGCAACUGACACUACCAUUUAUAUUUUGAGCUCAUCAAGAAAAAUUUUAUGAAGCCCUAACGCCCCGAUAACGAGGCGUGAGCGGUUGAUUUAGGCGGGUUCGAGGAAAGAUAGAGAGGGUGUAAAAAGUAUUAGGAAGAGGUAAUCGAGCAGGACACGAAGUGACUUUAGAUUUUCGAGAACAUGACCCUUGAUAGGAAGGUGUGGAGGUUGAGCAUUAGAGUUGUAUGUUAGGAGGUAUUUGAGUAUUUUUCUACUUCGUACCGGGUGUGAGGCUAGUCUGAUAGGGUUGUGUCUUAAGUUGCUGGUGGUUAAUCUUGUGUUCACACUAUUCUUCCUUUUUUAUAGUACAAGGCCUUAUU